rnacentral:rRNA from 1 species
AACGAACGCUGGCGGCAUGCCUAACACAUGCAAGUCGAACGAGACCUUCGGGUCUAGUGGCGCACGGGUGCGUAACGCGUGGGAACCUGCCCUUAGGUUCGGAAUAACUCCCCGAAUGGGGUGCUAAUACCGGAUAAUGUCUUCGGACCAAAGAUUUAUCGCGUUUGGAUGGGCCCGCGUUGGAUUAGCUAGUUGGUAGGGUAAAAGCCUACCACGGCGACGAUCCAUAGCUGGUCUGAGAGGAUGAUCAGCCACACUGGGACUGAGACACGGCCAAGAAUCCUACGGGAGGGAGGAGUGGGGAAUAUUGGACAACGGGCGGAAGCAUGAUGCAGCAAUGACGCGUGAGUGAUGAAGGCCUGAGGGUUGUAAAGCUCUUUUACCCGUGAUGAUAAUGACAGUACCGGGAGAAUAAGCUCCGGCUAACUCCGUG